GGGUACCAGUACAGAGUCAAUGUGGAGGCUAUAUACAGGGGGUACUGGUACAGAGUCAAUGUGGAGGCUAUAUACAGGGGGUACCGGUACAGAGUCAAUGUGGAGGCUAUAUACAGGGGGUACCGGUACAGAGUCAAUGUGGAGGCUAUAUACAGGGUGUUACGGUACAGAGUCAAUGUGGAGGCUAUAUACAGGGUGUUACGGUACAGAGUCAAUGUGGAGGCUAUAUACAGGGUGUUACAGUACAGAGUCAAUGUGGAGGCUAUAUACAGGGGGUACCAGUACAGAGUCAAUGUGGAGGCUAUAUACAGGGUGUUACGGUACAGAGUCAAUGUGGAGGCUAUA